rnacentral:tRNA from 1 species
GGGCUCUUAGCUCAGCUGGUUAGAGCAUGCGACUCUUAAUCGCCAGGUCCUGGGUUCGAAUCCCAGAGGGCCCA